CCUACGGGAUGCAGCAGUGGGGGAUAUUGCACAAUGGGGGAAACCCUGAUGCAGCGACGCCGCGUGGGUGAAGCAGAGCCUCGGGGCGGAAAGCCCUGUCAGCAGGGAGGAAAAUGACGGUACCUGAAGAAGAAGCCCCGGCUAACGACGGGCCAGCAGCCGCGGUAAUACGUCGGGGGCAAGCGUUAUCCGGAUUGACUGGGUGUAAAGGGGGCGCAGGCGGCGCUGCAAGCCAGGAGGGAAAGCCCGGGGCCCAACCCCGGGACUGCUCUUGGAACUGCGUGGCUAGAGUGCAGGAGGGGCAGGCGGACUUCCUGGUGUAGCGGUGAAAUGCGUAGAUAUCAGGAGGAACACCGGUGGCGUACGCGGCCUGCUGGACUGCAACUGCCGUUGAGGCCCGAACGCGUGGGUAGCAAACCGGAUUAGAUACCCCAGUAGUC
rnacentral:rRNA from 1 species